UACAGAGGUGGCAAGCGUUGUUCGGAAUUACUGGGCGUAAAGGGCGCGUAGGCGGCCAUCUAAGUCAGACGUGAAAUCCCCCGGCUUAACCUGGGAACUGCGUCUGAUACUGGUCGGCUUGAGUUUGGGAGAGGGAUGCAGAAUUCCAGGUGUAGCGGUGAAAUGCGUAGAUAUCUGGAGGAAUACCGGUGGCGAAGGCGGCAUCCUGGACCAACACUGACGCUGAGGCGCGAAAGCUAGGGGAGCAAACGGG
rnacentral:rRNA from 1 species